CAGAGAGAAGCAAGAUGGGCAUGCUGUACUGAGAAAAGCAAAAGAAUGAGACAUCCUCCAAUUUCUCCAGCCUCCAGUAGUAAAUACAAGAUAAGGAAAAAAACCAGCAUGACCAACACAUCCAAUGAAGCUUCUGUGUCAAGAAGCCGUUUGUGUGACCAGUUGUGGGGAGCUGAGACAUAGAACCUCUGAUGGGACUACAAGGCUGUUUACUUACAGACUUUUCUCCAGUUCCUUGGGUAGCUCCACGGCCAGACAUGAGCUCAUUACUCUAUCUUCCUCCAGCCUUCUCCCAUGGGUUCCCACCUCAGUGGUCAAUACCACCACCCACCCAGCUGUGUGAUCCCGUGUCCAGUCACCAACCCAUUGUUAUCUUCUAAGAACCUCUUGAAUCCAUCUGUGUCUCUUUAACUCUGCCUGUGUGGCCAGAGCCACGUGCUGACAUCUGUGGUCUCCAGGCACUUUUGUCUUCCUGGAUCUCUUCCACCAUUAAAAUAAAACACUUAAAAUUGU